UACGAAGGGUGCAAACGUUGCUCGGAAUCAUUGGGCGUAAAGCGCACGUAGGCGGCCUCGCAAGUCGGACGUGAAAUCCCUCAGCUCAACUGAGGACGUGCAUCCGAAACUGCAAGGCUUGAGUACUGAAGAGGAUCGCGGAAUUCCCGGUGUAGAGGUGAAAUUCGUAGAUAUCGGGAGGAACACCAGUGGCGAAGGCGGCGAUCUGGGCAGAUACUGACGCUGAGGUGCUAAAGCGUGGGGAGCAAACAGG
rnacentral:rRNA from 1 species